rnacentral:tRNA from 1 species
UUGGCUGGCGGCGCGCAUCGCCGGCGCCGCCGCCUGCAGCGCGGCGAACUCGCCGGCUUCGAUGGCGCGCAGCCGCACC